rnacentral:rRNA from 1 species
AGUGAACGCUGGCGGCAGGCCUAACACAUGCAAGUCGAGCGGAUGAAGGGAGCUUGCUCCUGGAUUCAGCGGCGGACGGGUGAGUAAUGCCUAGGAAUCUGCCUGGUAGUGGGGGAUAACGUCCGGAAACGGGCGCUAAUACCGCAUACGUCCUGAGGGAGAAAGUGGGGGAUCUUCGGACCUCACGCUAUCAGAUGAGCCUAGGUCGGAUUAGCUAGUUGGUGGGGUAAAGGCCUACCAAGGCGACGAUCCGUAACUGGUCUGAGAGGAUGAUCAGUCACACUGGAACUGAGACACGGUCCAGACUCCUACGGGAGGCAGCAGUGGGGAAUAUUGGACAAUGGGCGAAAGCCUGAUCCAGCCAUGCCGCGUGUGUGAAGAAGGUCUUCGGAUUGUAAAGCACUUUAAGUUGGGAGGAAGGGCAGUAAGUUAAUACCUUGCUGUUUUGACGUUACCAACAGAAUAAGCACCGGCUAACUUCGUG